rnacentral:rRNA from 1 species
GGAAUCUUGCGCAAUGGAGGAAACUCUGACGCAGCAACGCCGCGUGUGUGAUGAAGGCCCGUGGGUCGUAAAGCACUGUCAGGAGGGAAGAAUUUUGACGGUACCUCCAAAGGAAGCACCGGCUAACUCAGUGCCAGCAGCCGCGGUAAUACUGAGGGUGCAAGCGUUGUUCGGAAUCAUUGGGCGUAAAGCGCGCGCAGGUGGCUUAUCAAGUCUGGUGUGAAAGCCCAGGGCUCAACCCUGGAACUGCAUUGGAAACUGGUAAGCUUGAGUUCAAGAGGGGUUGGUGGAAUUCCUGGUGUAGGGGUGAAAUCCGUAGAGAUCAGGAGGAACACCGGUGGCGAAGGCGACCAACUGGAUUGAUACUGACACUGAGGCGCGAAAGUGUGGGGAGCG